AGCGAACGCUGGCGGCAGGCUUAACACAUGCAAGUCGAACGCCCGGGCAACCGGGAGUGGCAGACGGGUGAGUAACGCGUGGGAACGUGCCCUUUGGUUCGGAAUAACUCAGGGAAACUUGAGCUAAUACCGGAUAAGCCCUUACGGGGAAAGAUUUAUCGCCGAAGGAUCGGCCCGCGUCCGAUUAGCUAGUUGGUGUGGUAAUGGCGCACCAAGGCGACGAUCGGUAGCUGGUCUGAGAGGAUGAUCAGCCACACUGGGACUGAGACACGGCCCAGACUCCUACGGGAGGCAGCAGUGGGGAAUAUUGGACAAUGGGGGCAACCCUGAUCCAGCCAUGCCGCGUGAGUGAUGAAGGCCCUAGGGUUGUAAAGCUCUUUCGGCGGGGACGAUAAUGACGGUACCCGCAGAAGAAGCCCCGGCUAACUUCGUGCCAGCCGCCGCCGUAAUAC
rnacentral:rRNA from 1 species